GCUCGACGAAAUGCCAGUGAUCCCAAAAGAGUUCCCAUGCUGGUGAAACUGCACAUGUCUAGGCUAGGGGCAAGGAAAAGGUUAGUGGACAAGCUGGUUGGGCCAGAAAAGGAAAUUGCCAAUGCAAUCUCAAAUCAAUGCAAAAUCUGGCUAUGCACACAACGUGCUCGACAUAAUGCUACUAGCAUCAAAUGGUCUUUGCUCGUGCCCAAAAACUCUAGGUUAGGGUCUCUUUAGGGGUUAGUCAUGAUGGUCAAGUUAUUUUGGCAAAAUGCAAAACUUGUUAGUACAAUUGUUUGAGAAAAUCAUUUCUGGUCUCAAAGUUGAGGCUGAUAUUACAUGCAUUUAAAAUCAUCCAAUG
rnacentral:lncRNA from 1 species